rnacentral:piRNA from 1 species
UGGUAGCAAAAGUGUCAGCUUGUCAGGAC